CUUUCUGCAAUAUGUUUGACAAUGGUUGAUGAACGUUGUUUCUAAGUACUAUUGCAUUUUGUUCGCUAAUCUUUUGUUUAGAAUUCUUGUGUUUAAAUUCAGGGUGAUCUUGGCUUGUAGUUUUGGCUUGAUCUUAUCAUUUACUUGUUUUCUAUGGUCCUUGUCAGAUGUUGUUACCAGGUUUGUAUCAAUCUCCUAAAAUGAGGACAAAGAAAAGGAAUCCCUUUUUCUAACAACGGUUGAUACAAAUUGAUUCAUAAUCUUCAAAGAGUUAAUAAUAGUUUAAUCUACAUUUGGUUGAUGGUCGCUGCCUUUUCUGCAAUCAUUCUCAUUGAUUUUGAUUAAACUAUCUUCCUUCUUUUUAACUUAGCAUGCAUUAAAAAUAGGUUUCUUUUCAUGAGAACAGAGUGUUUCUUGGGGCUUGGUAAAUUUUGGCUCAUGAUUAAACGUCAAAUUAAUGAUUCACAUUCUUGGUUGGAUACACAUAUGCAGACUGUUUGCCAUUUGGUGGUUGUUAGAUUUUUGUCAUGAGUGGGAGGCGUUCAUUGAUAUAUUUCAGGAAACCAUGACCCAUCAAGGCGAGAAGGUGGCUGUAGAACCUGAAAAUGUGUUUGAACGUCCCAGGGAAUCUGACAGUCCUUCAUAUCAGAAAAGGCAGAAGAUGGCCCUGUCGGCACGGACAGAAGGAGCAGGAGACGGUGGUAUUGGACGCUCUGCCAUGUCUACGGAAAAGGGUAUGUGCGAGGAGACUUAAUUCCGCACCUUGAGAAGAAACUGGAAGAAAUGACAUCUGGCUACUUGUCCAAGAAGGAACAUCAGACCCUAAAUGCAUAAUCUCUUUAAUGAUUGAGGAGAAAAGAGGAUCAAAUUGCUGUUUUUUACAAUAGAGUAGGAUAUGGCUGAAACCUCCUAGCAUGUGUUAGUGAAUAAAAUGGCCUCCCAGAGGCUAAGAAAUUUCUGUCAGUAAACGUUGGUCUUUUUCCCUAAGCAUUUCAUUUGAAAGGAUAACUUAUUUGUUGGUUUGUUGAUUUUCCCACCUGUGCUGGCAGACAUUAUUGACCCAUCAAGUAAAUACUAUUACAGUCGUGGUUUCUGCAGCAGCCCACAUUGCUGUAACUGUUAUUUAUAACUGCCUUCUUUCACUACCCAUUUCUCUUUCCCUUUGCCCUAGCGAAAGCAUGUCAGCUGCUCGUGGUGCUUGGCCUGGCAGAAUGACUCAAACCUUCAUUACUGAACAGUCUGAACCAUUAGAUGUCCUGCCUAGAUGGGGUUGCUUACCAUAGGUGAGAAUGAAAAUCCAUAUCCAGAAUAAGUGUCCAUUUGAGCAAAUCAAAGUGAUGCCCCUUCAAUUGUGGAAGCAGAUUCAAGUAAUCACAGUGCUAUCUGGAAGCGGACAGACCACUCUGGGACAUGGUUUCAUGUUGGGGACUCAGUGUUCGUCUCUGCUGCUGGCAGAUUGAAUAGCAAGCAGUGGCUGUACUGACAUAGACCUGGUAAAUGAAAGUUGAUAUUACCAAGACCAUGGAUAUCCUCUAUCUCAACCACCAUAAUCAUGAUGCACUGUUACUCUUUAUAAGAUGGAAGGGUGCACCUAAGGAAGUCUGGAGGUGAUUGAUGAUAGCAUCUGGAAACCAAAGGAAGAGGUUGAGCUGUGAGCUCCUCUUCACGGACAUUUUGAGUGACGGUAGCAUCUGAAAGAAAACCCAAUGAAGAGGUUGAGCUGUGAAGUAAAUACAUCAUGUGAACUGCACAGGUAUAUCCCUCUGAUGAUCAGUUUCUAGGUAAUCAUCAAAAAAAGCAGGGGUGCAUAUGCCAAGUGGACAUCUGAUACCCCUCAAAUUGAGGCUACUAAGGUAUUUACAACAGAGUUACCCUCUACCAUUCAUGAAAUUAUGCCUGCUUAGGGAAACCGAGUAGGACAGCACAACUAAGAAGCAGACAUACACAGAUCUCUGGUUCUCCUGGAUGAAAUUCCAGCUGCUGCCAUAUUACCAAGCCCUGGUGGAGCAGUUGACAAGACGUUAUCCGGUACCGGUUGGCUGUUACUUCUCUUCUCUUCACGGAUGCUGUGCGUGACUUCAGCAUCUGGAAACCAAAUGAAAUGGAUGAGCUCUCCUCUUCACGGACAUUUUGAGUGACGGUAGCAUCUGAAAGAAAACCCAAUGAAGUGGUUGAGCUGUGAAGUAAAUAAAUCAUGUGAACCACACACGUAUAUCCCUCUGAUGAUCAGUUUCUAGGGAAACCGAGUAGGACAGCACAACUAAGAAGCAGACAUACACAGAUCUCUGGUCCUCCUGGAUGAAAUUCCAGCUGCUGUCAUAUUACCAAGCCCUGGUGGAGCAGUUGACAAGACGUUAUCAGGUACCGGUUGGCUGUUACUUCUCUUCUCUUCACGGACGCUGUGCGUGACUGCAGAAUCUGGAAAACAAAUGAAAUGGUUGAGCUGUGAGUAAUUUGCAUUAUGUAAACCACACAGGCAUAGCCCUCAGAUGCUCAGUAGCUAGGAAAUUAUCACUUGGAGAAGAAUAUACCAGGUAGCAAUCUGAGAACCCUAAAAUUGAGGCCAGGAAAGAUAGUACAACAACACUAGAUUCUGUCCUCAUGACGCUAUGCAUGCAUAUAAAAAACAAGUAGGACAUUAUAUCGAGUGAACAAACAUACACUGAUCCCUGGUACUCAUGGAUGAAACACCAGCUGCUCCCAUAUUAAUAAGUGCUGGGGGAAUAGUUGAGAAGACGUUAUUGUGUUCUGCUUCAGCAUUUUUAAUCUUCUCCUCGUGGACGUUGUGAGUGAUGGUAGAAUCUGGAAAGACAAUGAAGACGUUAAGUUUUGAGUUAAGGGCAUUAUGUCAGCCCACAGGUAUAUCCCCCUGAUGAUCAGUUUCUAGACAACGAUUUCAAAAAGCCAGAGAGCAUAUGCCAGAUGGGCAUCUGAGAACACUCAAAUGUGCUCACGAAAUAUAAUACAACAAAAUCACUUUCUCCUAUUCAGGACACUAGUCAUACCUAUGAAAACAAGGUAGGAUAGUACAAAUGAACAAGCAAACAUACACUGAUCCCUGGUGCUCAUGGCUGGCAGAACAGCUGUGGCCAAAAAUGUAAGUGUUUGUAGAACAGUCAACAAGUCGUUAUUAGAUGUUGGUUGCUUAUUUUCCAGCUCCUCUUCACGGACAUUUUGAGUGACGGUAGCAUCUGAAAGAAAACCAAAUGAAGAGGUUGAGCUGUGAAGUAAAUACAUCAUGUGAACUGCACAGGUAUAUCCCUCUGAUGAUCAGUUUCUAGGUAAUCAUCAAAAAAAGCAGGGGUGCAUAUGCCAAGUGGACAUCUGAUACCCCUCAAAUUGAGGCUACUAAGGUAUGUACAACAGAGUUACCCUCUACCAUUCAUGAAAUUAUGCCUGCUUAGGGAAACCGAGUAGGACAGCACAACUAAGAAGCAGACAUACACAGAUCUCUGGUUCUCCUGGAUGAAAUUCCAGCUGCUGCCAUAUUACCAAGCCCUGGUGGAGCAGUUGACAAGACGUUAUCCGGUACCGGUUGGCUGUUACUUCUCUUCUCUUCACGGACGCUGUGCGUGACUUCAGCAUCUGGAAACCAAAUGAAAUGGUUGAGCUCUCCUCUUCACGGACAUUUUGAGUGACGGUAGCAUCUGAAAACCAAAUGAAGAGGUUGAGCUGUGAAGUAAAUACAUCAUGUGAACUGCACAGUUAUAUCCCUCUGAUGGUCAGUUUCUAGGUAAUCAUCAAAAAAAGCAGGGGUGUAUAUGCCAAGUGGACAUCUGAUAACCCUCAAAUUGAGGCUACUAAGGUAUUUACAACAGAGUUACCCUCUACCAUUCAUGAAAUUAUGCCUGCUUAGGGAAACCGAGUAGGACAGCACAACUAAGAAGCAGACAUACACAGAUCUCUGGUCCUCCUGGAUGAAAUUCCAGCUGCUGCCAUAUUACCAAGCCCUGGUGGAGCAGUUGACAAGACGUUAUCAGGUACCGGUUGGCUGUUACUUCUCUUCUCUUCACGGACGCUGUGCGUGACUGCAGCAUCUGGAAACCAAAUGAAAUGGUUGAGCUGUGAGUAAUUUGCAUUAUGUAAACCACACAGGCAUAGCCCUCAGAUGCUCAGCAGCUAGGACAUUAUCACUUGGAGAAGAAUAUACCAGGUAGCAACCUGAGAUCCCUAAAAUUGAGGCCAGGAAAGAUAGUACAACAACACUAGAUUCUGUCCUCAUGACACUAUGCAUGCAUAUAGAAACCAAGUAGGACAGUAUAUUGAGUGAACAAACAUACACUGAUCCCUGGUACUCAUGGAUGAAACACCAGCUGCUCCCAUAUUAAUAAGUGCUGGGGGAAUAGUUGAGAAGACAUUAUUGGGUUCUGCUUCAGCAUUUUUAAUCUUCUCCUCGUGGACGUUGUGAGUGAUGGUAGAAUCUGGAAAGACAAUGAAGACGUUAAGUUUUGAGUUAAGGGCAUUAUUUCAGCCCACAGGUAUAUCCCCCUGAUGAUCAGUUUCUAGACAACUAUUUCAAAAAGUCAGAGAGGAUAUGCCAGAUGGGCAUCUGAGAACACUCAAAUGUGCUCACGAAAUAUAAUACAACAAAGUCACUUUCUCCUAUUCAGGACACUAGUCAUACCUAUGAAAACAAGGUAGGAUAGUACAAAGGAAUAAGCAAACAUACACUGAUCCCUGGUGCUCAUGGCUGGCAGAACAGCUUUGGCCAAAAAUGUAAGUGUUUGUAGAACAGUCAACAAGUCGUUAUUAGAUGUUGGUUGCUUAUUUUCCAGCUCCUCUUCACGGACAUUUUGAGUGACGGUAGCAUCUGAAAGAAAACCAAAUGAAGAGGUUGAGCUGUGAAGUAAAUACAUCAUGUGAACUGCACAGGUAUAUCCCUCUGAUGAUCAGUUUCAAGGUAAUCAUCAAAAAAAGCAGGGGUGCAUAUGCCAAGUGGACAUCUGAUAACCCUCAAAUUGAGGCUACUAAGGUAUUUACAACAGAGUUACCCUCUACCAUUCAUGAAUGUAUGCCUGCUUAGGGAAACCGAGUAGGACAGCACAACUAAGAAGCAGACAUACACAGAUCUCUGGUCCUCGUGGAUGAAAUUCCAGCUGCUGCCAUAUUACCAAGACCUGGUGGAGCAGUUGACAAGACGUUAUCAGGUGCUAGUUGGCCAUUAUUUAUCUUCUGUUUACGGACAUUGUGAGUGACUGCAGCAUCUGGAAACCAAACAAAGUGGUUUUGCUGUGAGGUAAGUGCAUUAUGUCAACUACAUAGGUAUACCACUCUGAUGGGUAGUAUCUAGGAAAUUAUGUCAUACAGAAGAAAGAUAUACCACCUAGUAAUCUGAGAACCCUAAAAUUGAGGCCAGGAAAGACAGUAAAACAACACUACAUUCUUUCCUGCUUACAGUAUGCAAGCAUGUGGAAACCAAGUAGGACAGUGCACUGAGUGAACAAACUUACACUGAUCCCUGGUCUUCAUGGAUGAAACACCCGCUGCUGCCAUAUUAAUAUGUGUAGGGGAAACAGUUGGGAAGACUUUAUUGGGUGCUCCUUCAGCAUUUUUUAUCCUUGCCUCCUGGACAGUGUGAGUGAUGGUAGCAUCUGGAAACAAAAUGAAAAGGUUUAGAUUUGAAUUAAGUGCAUUAUCUAAACCCCACAGGUAUAUCAGCCUGAUGCUCAGUUUCUAGAAAACUAUUUCAUAAAAUCAGAAAUGAUAUGCCAGAUGGCCAUCUGAGAACACUCAAAUGCAGCUCAUGAAAGAUAAUACAACAAAAUCACCUUCUCCCAUUCAGGACACUAGGCAUGCCUAUGAAAACAAAGCAGGAUAGUCCAAAUGAAUAAGCAAACAUACACUGAUCCCUGGCGCUCAUGGCUGGGAGACCAGCUGUUGCCAAAUAAGGAAGUCCUUGGAGAACAGUUGACAAGACGUUACUAGGUGUUGGUUGCUUAUUUUCGGUCUUUUCUUUGCAGACAUUUUGAGUGACGGUUGCACCUGAAAACCAAAGGAAGAGGUUGAGCUGUGAGCUAAGUACAUUAUGUCAACCCCAGAGGUAUAUCCCUAUGAUCCUCACUUUCUAGGAAAUUAUCAAAGAAACCAGGGUAGGGUAUGCCACGUGGCUAUCUCAUACCCCUCAAAGUGAGGCUAGGAAAGUACAUACAACAAAAUUAACUUGUAGCAUUCAUAAAACUAUGCCUCCUUAGGGAAACCAAGUAGGACAGUACAACUAAGAAGCGGACCUACACAGACCUGUGGUUUUCAUGGAUGAAUUUCCGGCUGCUACCAUAUUACCAAGACCUGGUGGAGCAGCUGACAACACGUUGUCAGGUGCUAGUUGGAUGUUAUUUAUCUUUGCUUCACGGAUAUUGUGAGUGACUGCAGCAUCUGGAAACCAACAGAAAUGGCUGGGCUGUGAGACAUUUUGAGUGACGGUAGCAUCUGAAACCCAAAUGAAGAGGUUGAGCUGUGAGGUAAGUACAGUAUGUCAACCCCAGAAGUACAUCCGUCUGAUCCUCAGUUUCCUGGAAAUUAUGAAAGAAACCAGUUUAGGAUAUGCCACGUGGCUAUCUGAUCCCCCUCAAAUUGAUGCUAGGAAACUAUAUACAACAAAAUUAACUGGUAGCAUUCAUCAAACAAUGCCUCCUUAGGGAAUCCAAGUACGAUGGUCCAACUAAAAAGCAGACAUACAUAGAUCUCUGGUCCUCGUGGAUGAAAUUCCAGCUGCUGCCAAAUUACCAAGCCCUGGUGGAGCAGUUGACAAGACGUUAUCAGGUGCUAGUUGACCAUUAUUUAUCUUCGCUUCACGGACGUUGUGAGUGACCGCAGCAUCUGGAAACCAAAUGAAGUCGUUGAGCUGUGUGUUUCAUGCAUUAUGUCAACCGUACAGGCAUACCGCUCGUAUGCUCGGUAUCGAGGAAAUGAUCUCAUAAAGAAGAAGGACAUACCAACUAGCAGUCUGAGAACCGUAAAGUUGAGGCCAGUAAAGAUAGUACAACAACAGUGUAUUCUUUUCUCAUGGCACUACGCAUGCAUAUAGAAACCAAGUAGGACAGCACGCCAAGUGAACAAACGUACACUGAUCCCUGGUACUCAUGGAUGAAACACCCGCUGCUGCCAUAUUAAUACGUGCUGGUGGAAUAGCUGAGAAGACAUUAUUGGGUGCCGUUUGGGCAUUUUUAAUCUUCUCCUCAUGGACAUUGUGAGUGAUGGUAUAAUCUGGAAAUGA